CGCGGAACUAAGAGGUCCGCGCUAACAGAUGUUUUUAAGUUGAGCUCGUGAAGCUUAAAAUUCAUAGAAAACCACGAUGUAGACUUUCACUUUGCACAGCCAACUUUCUCUCGCAUUGCAAAAGCGGCUUUUCUUGCAGAAAAAGGAUUAUUGCGGUCCUGAGUAUCCAAGUUAAUGACGCGUCUCGAAGUGUAUCUGACACUGUGGGGGUCUGAAGUCUGAAAAGUGUCCAGCUGUGUGUGCAUGAAGAGUCCAUGGAUGAACCAGAUAUCAGAGAGACGGAUCCUCCUCCUGAGGAGAGAGCCCCAAUAGAGAGUAGACCAGACUCCCCUGUGUCCAAGAGAGUGAAGUGGUCCAUGGAUCAUCCAGCACCAUCCAGAGAGACGGAUCCUCCUCCUGAGGAGAGUGUCCAGCAGGGGGCAUCAGACACACAGAAACUGAAAACAGACAAGACCAAGAGGGGCACUGCAGAACACAG